AUGAACGCUGGCGGCGUGCCUAAUCCCUGCCAGUCGAGCGAACGGACGAGAAGCUUGCUUCUCUGAUGUUAGCGGCGGACGGGUGAGUAACACGUGGAUAACCUACCUAUAAGACUGGGAUAACUUCGGGAAACCGGAGCUAAUACCGGAUAAUAUUUUGAACCGCAUGGUUCAAAAGUGAAAGACGGUCUUGCUGUCACUUAUAGAUGGAUCCGCGCUGCAUUAGCUAGUUGGUAAGGUAACGGCUUACCAAGGCAACGAUGCAUAGCCGACCUGAGAGGGUAAUCGGCCACACUGGAACUGAGACACGGUCCAGACUCCUACGGGAGGCAGCAGUAGGGAAUCUUCCGCAAUGGGCGAAAGCCUGACGGAGCAACGCCGCGUGAGUGAUGAAGGUCUUCGGAUCGUAAAACUCUGUUAUUAGGGAAGAACAUAUGUGUAAGUAACUGUGCACAUCUUGACGGUACCUAAUCAGAAAGCCACGGCUAACUACGUG
rnacentral:rRNA from 1 species